CAAGUCGAACGCCAAUUUCAGGGUAGCAAUAUCUUGAAGUUGGAGUGGCGCAAGGGUGCGUAACACGUGGGUAAUUUGCCGUGAAGUUGGGGAUAACUCGCUGAAAGGCGAGCUAAUACCGAAUGUGACUGUCGGAAGGCAUCUUCUGAUUUUCAAAGUUGGGGACCGUAAGGCCUGACGCUUCACGAUAAGCCCGCGGCCUAUCAGCUAGUUGGUGAGGUAACGGCUCACCAAGGCUAAGACGGGUAGCUGGUCUGAGAGGACGACCAGCCACACUGGAACUGAGACACGGUCCAGACACCUACGGGUGGCAGCAGUCGAGAAUUUUACUCAAUGGGCGAAAGCCUGAAGGAGCGACGCCGCGUGGGGGAUGAAGGGCUUCGGCUCGUAAACCCCUGUCAUUUGCGAACAAACCUUUUCACCUAAUACGUGGAGAGCUGAUUGUAGCGAAAGAGGAAGGGACGGCUAACUCUGUGCCAGCAGCCGCGGUAAUACAGAGGUCCCGAGCGUUGUUCGGAUUCACUGGGCGUAAAGGGUGCG
rnacentral:rRNA from 1 species